rnacentral:rRNA from 1 species
UUACCCACUCCCGGCACGGGGAGGUAGUGACGAAAAAUAACGAUACGGGACUCAUCCGAGGCCCCGUAAUCGGAAUGAGUACACUCUAAACCCUUUAACGAGGAUCAAUUGGAGGGCAAGUCUGGUGCCAGCAGCCGCGGUAAUUCCAGCUCCAAUAGCGUAUAUUAAAGUUGUUGCGGUUAAAAAGCUCGUAGUCGAAUUUGUGUCUCGUGCCGCCGGUUCAUCGUCCGCGGUGUUAACUGGCGAGUCGCGAGACGUCCUGCCGGUGGGCUUAGCUCGCGAGGGCGGCCCAACUCAAUCCUGCCGCGGUGCUCUUCAUUGAGUGUCGAGGUGGGCCGGCACGUUUACUUUGAACAAAUUAGAGUGCUUAAAGCAGGCUAAAACUUCGCCUGAAUACUGUGUGCAUGGAAUAAUGGAAUAGGACCUCGGUUCUAUUUUGUUGGUUUUCGGAACCCCGAGGUAAUGAUUAAUAGGAACGGAUGGGGGCAUUCGUAUUGCGACGUUAGAGGUGAAAUUCUUGGAUCGUCGCAAGACGGACAGAAGCGAAAGCAUUUGCCAAAAACGCUUUCAUUGAUCAAGAACGAAAGUUAGAGGUUCGAAGGCGAUCAGAUACCGCCCUAGUUCUAACCAUAAACGAUGCCAGCUAGCGAUCCGUCGACGUUCCUCCGAUGACUCGACGGGCAGCUUCCGGGAAACCAAAGCUUUUGGGUUCCGGGGGAAGUAUGGUUGCAAAGCUGAAACUUAAAGGAAUUGACGGAAGGGCACCACCAGGAGUGGAGCCUGCGGCUUAAUUUGACUCAACACGGGAAACCUCACCAGGCCCGGACACCGGAAGGAUUGACAGAUUGAGAGCUCUUUCUUGAUUCGGUGGGUGGUGGUGCAUGGCCGUUCUUAGUUGGUGGAGCGAUUUGUCUGGUUAAUUCCGAUAACGAACGAGACUCUAGCCUGCUAAAUAGGCGUAUUCGACAUCCUAAAGGCCCGCCGGCGGGGG